rnacentral:rRNA from 1 species
CAGUCGCCGCGGUAAUACGUAGGGUGCAAGCGUUAAUCGGAAUUACUGGGCGUAAAGCGCACGUAGGCGGCUUUGUAAGUUAGAGGUGAAAGCCUGGAGCUCAACUCCAGAAUUGCCUUUAAGACUGCAUCGCUUGAAUCCAGGAGAGGUGAGUGGAAUUCCGAGUGUAGAGGUGAAAUUCGUAGAUAUUCGGAAGAACACCAGUGGCGAAGGCGACUGACUGGACAAGUAUUGACGCUGAGGUGCGAAAGCGUGGGGAGCAAACAGGAUUAGAUACCCCAGUAGUCCCUGUCUCUUAUAA